UACGUAGGGACCAAGCGUUGUUCGGAUUUACUGGGCGUAAAGGGCGCGUAGGCGGCAUGUUAAGUCAGCUGUGAAAUCUCCGGGCUUAACUCGGAAAGGUCAGCCGAUACUGCGGGGCUAGAGUGCAGAAGGGGCAACUGGAAUUCUCGGUGUAGCGGUGAAAUGCGUAGAUAUGCGGAGGAACACCGAUGGCGAAGGCAAUCCCCUGGGCCUGCAC
rnacentral:rRNA from 1 species